CGCGUUCACUCCUACGGGAGGCAGCAGUGGGGAAUAUUGCACAAUGGGCGCAAGCCUGAUGCAGCCAUGCCGCGUGUGUGAAGAAGGCCUUCGGGUUGUAAAGCACUUUCAGUCGUGAGGAAGGUAGUGUAGUUAAUAGCUGCAUUAUUUGACGUUAGCGACAGAAGAAGCACCGGCUAACUCCGUGCCAGCAGCCGCGGUAAUACGGAGGGUGCGAGCGUUAAUCGGAAUUACUGGGCGUAAAGCGCAUGCAGGUGGUUUGUUAAGUCAGAUGUGAAAGCCCGGGGCUCAACCUCGGAAUUGCAUUUGAAACUGGCAGACUAGAGUACUGUAGAGGGGGUAGAAUUUCAGGUGUAGCGGUGAAAAUGCGUAGAGAUCUGAAGGAAUACCGGUGGCGAAGGCGGCCCCCUGGACAGAUACUGACACUCAGAUGCGAAAGCGUGGGGAGCAAACAGGAUUAGAUACCCUGGUAG
rnacentral:rRNA from 1 species